UCGGGUUAACCUAUCUUCUUCUCCGCCGAUCUCCUUCUUCCUCUUCAAUGGCGAUUUCGAGUUCUUCUUCUUCUUCACACGGUUAAGUGUUCGUCGUCUCUAUUCUCUCUAUCUUCUUCUCUGUUUCUUAUUCUAUCUUUCUUCUUCUCUUUAUUGGUUAUCAAUAAGAUGUUUAGCCAGGUAAUGAAUCAUAGAAGAUGUUGAGGUAUUUAAUUUAAUCUUGGUUCUUGUGUUGCUUUGGAAAAAACUGUUUUUCCAGGUAAUUAAUCAUAGAAGAUGUUAGGCAUUAUAUUCAAUGUUCUUUGUAUAUAAUCUAAGCAGUCUUACUGUUUCAAAGUUGCGGCCUUUUGAUCUCGAAGUGCUUAUUUUUGUUGUUACUCAGGCCAAGGUAUUUGAAAAAUUAGAUAGAAAUAGGAGCGACUUCAUUCAUUAGGGUCUUAUGUUCUGAUCUUUGAAGCUACGCAGUCUUAUUGAUACGAAUUUGUGUCUUUUGAUAUCUAAACUGUCUACAGUAGUUAUGUUUAGUGGUAUAUGAACAACUCGAAUCAUGAAUCCCACAGUUUCCCCUUUGGUGGAUGCGUUUCAGAUUGUUUCAGCGUUCUUGUUUUUGUCACAUUUUCAUGUGAUUUUGACAGUUAAAUUUUUCCAGUGAAUUUGACUUCUUCUUCUUGUUUUACAGGAGAAGCUUUACUAAUGGAUUGUGAGACAAGAAGAAGAAGGAACAAGAGCCUCCACUAAUGCGACUGUGAGUCUCAAUUACCGUGUAUCAUCUUUAUCUAGAUGAUGUCUCGGCCAUUAUUGGUCCUCACAAUUGCUGAGGCUCUCAUAGACUAGUCAGAGUUAAAGUAAGAAGCCCCAGGUGAAACUGUCUCUCAUGCAUCUUCAGAAUCACAGUAUGAACUACAAAUGUCUCAGUCUCUGUCAAGGGAAA
rnacentral:lncRNA from 1 species